UCUUCUUUCCUCUUCUGCUCCUCUUCUUCUCUGUUCUUCUCUGUUUCAUUUCGAUAGAUGAAGGUUAGGUUGAUUCUGUAUGAGCGUUUCUUCUCAUGCUUGGUGUGUUGACGAACUGAGUGAGGUGGUGACGUCACUGAAGCUGAUUUAGUUCUGGAAAAGCAACGAAUUGUUAGUCUUCAUUAACAACGAUCGAUCUAAAGGAUGAACCAGUGGAUUGAGGAUCUCAAGGUAGGAGUGGUUUGCCUUCAGAAUCAGUUUUCAGUAAUCAGAAGAAAAGGUGCGCUCGAAGAUAACCGUUUUGUGGCUUAAAGCUUUUAUCGUAUUAAAGAUGUUGCGUAGCUUUUGUAUAUGUAUAUUUUUGUUAAUCUGUAAAACAACACAUUAUUAUGUUCAUAUCACUCGAGAGAUCUUCAUUUAUAUAAUACCAGAGUUUA